rnacentral:rRNA from 1 species
ACGGGUGAGUAACGCGUGGGUAAUCUGCCUCAUACAGGGGGAUAACAGUUAGAAAUGACUGCUAACACCGCCAUAAUAUAGCGAAACCGCAUGAUUUUGCUAUCAAAUAUUUAUAGGGUAUGAGAUGGGCCCGCGUCUGAUUAGCUAGUUGGUGGGGUAAAAGCCUACCAAGGCGACGAUCAGUAGCCGGCUUGAGAGAGUGACCGGCCACAUUGGGACUGAGACACGGCCCAAACUCCUACGGGAGGCAGCAGUGGGGAAUAUUGGACAAUGGGGGAAACCCUGAUCCAGCCGACGCCGCGUGAGUGAAGAAGUAUUUCGGUAUGUAAAGCUCUAUCAGCAGGGAAGAUAAUGACAGUACCUGACUAAGAAGCCCCGGCUAACUACGUGCCAGCCGCCGC